GAUGAACGCUGGCGGCGUGCCUAAUACAUGCAAGUCGAGCGAACAGACGAGGAGCUUGCUCCUUUGACGUUAGCGGCGGACGGGUGAGUAACACGUGGAUAACCUACCUAUAAGACUGGGAUAACUUCGGGAAACCGGAGCUAAUACCGGAUAACAUGUUGAACCGCAUGGUUCAACAGUGAAAGACGGUCUUGCUGUCGCUUAUAGAUGGAUCCGCGCCGCAUUAGCUAGUUGGUAAGGUAACGGCUUACCAAGGCAACGAUGCGUAGCCGACCUGAGAGGGUGAUCGGCCACACUGGAACUGAGACACGGUCCAGACUCCUACGGGAGGCAGCAGUAGGGAAUCUUCCGCAAUGGGCGAAAGCCUGACGGAGCAACGCCGCGUGAGUGAAGAAGGUCUUCGGAUCGUAAAACUCUGUUAUUAGGGAAGAACAAAUGUGUAAGUAACUAUGCACGUCUUGACGGUACCUAAUCAGAAAGCCACGGCUAACUACGUG
rnacentral:rRNA from 1 species